GUAGGUGGCAAGCGUUGUCCGGAAUUAUUGGGCGUAAAGCGCGCGCAGGCGGUUCUUUAAGUCUGAUGUGAAAGCCCACGGGCUCAACCGUGGAGGGUCAUUGGAAACUGGAGAACUUGAGUACAGAAGAGGAAAGCGGAACUCCACGUGUAGCGGUGAAAUGCGUAGAGAUGUGGAGGAACACCAGUGGCGAAGGCGGCUUUCUGGUCUGUAACUGACGCUGAGGCGCGAAAGCGUGGGGGGCAAACAGGAUUAGAUACCCUGGUAGUCCACGCCGUAAACGAUGAGUGCUAAGUGUUAGGGGGUUUCCGCCCCUUAGUGCUGCAGCUAACGCAUUAAGCACUCCGCCUGGGGAGUACGGCCGCAAAGGCUG
rnacentral:rRNA from 1 species